AGUCGAGCGGUAGCACAGAGAGCUUGCUCUCGGGUGACGAGCGGCGGACGGGUGAGUAAUGUCUGGGAAACUGCCUGAUGGAGGGGGAUAACUACUGGAAACGGUAGCUAAUACCGCAUAACGUCGCAAGACCAAAGUGGGGGACCUUCGGGCCUCAUGCCAUCAGAUGUGCCCAGAUGGGAUUAGCUAGUAGGUGGGGUAAUGGCUCACCUAGGCGACGAUCCCUAGCUGGUCUGAGAGGAUGACCAGCCACACUGGAACUGAGACACGGUCCAGACUCCUACGGGAGGCAGCAGUGGGGAAUAUUGCACAAUGGGCGCAAGCCUGAUGCAGCCAUGCCGCGUGUAUGAAGAAGGCCUUCGGGUUGUAAAGUACUUUCAGCGAGGAGGAAGGCGUUAAGGUUAAUAACCUUGGCGAUUGACGUUACUCGCAGAAGAAGCACCGGCUAACUCCGUGCCAGCAGCCGCGGUAAUACGGAGGGUGCAAGCGUUAAUCGGAAUUACUGGGCGUAAAGCGCACGCAGGCGGUCUGUUAAGUCAGAUGUGAAAUCCCCGGGCUCAACCUGGGAACUGCAUUUGAAACUGGCAGGCUUGAGUCUUGUAGAGGGGGGUAGAAUUCCAGGUGUAGCGGUGAAAUGCGUAGAGAUCUGGAGGAAUACCGGUGGCGAAGGCGGCCCCCUGGACAAAGACUGACGCUCAGGUGCGAAAGCGU
rnacentral:rRNA from 1 species